GAUGAACGCUGGCGGCGUGCCUAAUACAUGCAAGUCGAGCGAACGGACGAGAAGCUUGCUUCUCUGAUGUUAGCGGCGGACGGGUGAGUAACACGUGGAUAACCUACCUAUAAGACUGGGAUAACUUCGGGAAACCGGAGCUAAUACCGGAUAAUAUUUUGAACCGCAUGGUUCAAAAGUGAAAGACGGUCUUGCUGUCACUUAUAGAUGGAUCCGCGCUGCAUUAGCUAGUUGGUAAGGUAACGGCUUACCAAGGCAACGAUGCAUAGCCGACCUGAGAGGGUGAUCGGCCACACUGGAACUGAGACACGGUCCAGACUCCUACGGGAGGCAGCAGUAGGGAAUCUUCCGCAAUGGGCGAAAGCCUGAUGGAGCAACGCCGCGUGAGUGAUGAAGGUCUUCGGAUCGUAAAACUCUGUUAUUAGGGAAGAACAUAUGUGUAAGUAACUGUGCACAUCUUGACGGUACCUAAUCAGAAAGCCACGGCUAACUACGUGCCAGCAGCCGCGGUAAUACGUAGGUGGCAAGCGUUAUCCGGAAUUAUUGGGCGUAAAGCGCGCGUAGGCGGUUUUUUAAGUCUGAUGUGAAAGCCCACGGCUCAACCGUGGAGGGUCAUUGGAAACUGGAAAACUUGAGUGCAGAAGAGGAAAGUGGAAUUCCAUGUGUAGCGGUGAAAUGCGCAGAGAUAUGGAGGAACACCAGUGGCGAAGGCGACUUUCUGGUCUGUAACUGACGCUGAUGUGCGAAAGCGUGGGGAUCAAACAGGAUUAGAUACCCUGGUAGUCCACGCCGUAAACGAUGAGUGCUAAGUGUUAGGGGGUUUCCGCCCCUUAGUGCUGCAGCUAACGCAUUAAGCACUCCGCCUGGGGAGUACGACCGCAAGGUUGAAACUCAAAGGAAUUGACGGGGACCCGCACAAGCGGUGGAGCAUGUGGUUUAAUUCGAAGCAACGCGAAGAACCUUACCAAAUCUUGACAUCCUUUGACAACUCUAGAGAUAGAGCCUUCCCCUUCGGGGGACAAAGUGACAGGUGGUGCAUGGUUGUCGUCAGCUCGUGUCGUGAGAUGUUGGGUUAAGUCCCGCAACGAGCGCAACCCUUAAGCUUAGUUGCCAUCAUUAAGUUGGGCACUCUAAGUUGACUGCCGGUGACAAACCGGAGGAAGGUGGGGAUGACGUCAAAUCAUCAUGCCCCUUAUGAUUUGGGCUACACACGUGCUACAAUGGACAAUACAAAGGGCAGCGAAACCGCGAGGUCAAGCAAAUCCCAUAAAGUUGUUCUCAGUUCGGAUUGUAGUCUGCAACUCGACUACAUGAAGCUGGAAUCGCUAGUAAUCGUAGAUCAGCAUGCUACGGUGAAUACGUUCCCGGGUCU
rnacentral:rRNA from 1 species